ACAUCGCAAGACCUUUACGUCGAGUUGCGAGAAACUUACAUCAAAUCUCUCAAUGAACGGUGUGAUUCUAUUUAUUGACAUAAGUAGGGGAUACCUGGAGACCAAGGUUAAUAUCGAAUCAUCAUCUUGCUUUUUGGCUCAUGAUUCAAAUAUUUACUCAAAUAUAUUGAAGACACUUGUUCACGAUUCAAAUAUUCAAUCAAAUAUUGAAGAUGUUUGAUUAUUGAUAUUUAUACUUUUGGAUAAUAGCCUCACAAUGUUUUGCAAAUUUGAUGUGCAUCUCAAUUUUUUUAUUCUACUGUAAACAAUUUUGAU